GACCUGUUUGUGCUUUCAGAGGGAAACAGGGUGGUUGACACCAGGCUUUAACUUAGUCUGGUCCCAGACCUGUGUAUGCUGUCAUGACAACUUCUUGUUGCCAUUGUCCUGCGGCAGGUGGCUUCAUUCCUAGACGACAUGCAGUCCUCAACCAGUCAAUGCAGACAGAAUCAUCGCACUAUCUGAUGUAAGACAAUGCCUUGUCGGAGACGGCACGACCUUAUCUGGAACCAGGCUAAGGUCAAUGACAACAGGACCAGAUCUGGAACCAGGUUUAUGUCAAUGACAACAGGACCAGAUCUGGGACCAGGUCAAUGUCUACAGGACCAGAUCUGGAACCAGGUCAAUGACAACAGGACCAGAUCUGGAACCAGGUUUAUGAUAACAGGACCAGAUCUGGAACCAGGUUUAUGAUAACAGGACCAGAUCUGGAACCAGGUUUAUGAUAACAGGACCAGAUCUGGGACCAGGUUUAUGAUAACAGGACCAGAUCUGGAACCAGGUUAAGGUCAAGAGGGUGGAAGAUACAAGGCUGUUUGUUUCUUCAGCGGAGAAUAAAACUUGUAAAAAAUACAACUGGA
rnacentral:lncRNA from 1 species